GACGAACGCUGGCGGCGUGCUUAACACAUGCAAGUCGAACGAUGAAGCCGGAGCUUGCUCUGGUGAAUUAGUGGCGAACGGGUGAGUAACACGUGAGUGACCUGCCCUUGACUCUGGGAUAACUGCGGGAAACUGUAGCUAAUACCGGAUACGACCCUCGGAGGCAUCUCCUGGGGGUGGAAAGAAUUUCGGUCAAGGAUGGACUCGCGGCCUAUCAGCUAGUUGGUGAGGUAAAGGCUCACCAAGGCGACGACGGGUAGCCGGCCUGAGAGGGUGACCGGCCACACUGGGACUGAGACACGGCCCAGACUCCUACGGGAGGCAGCAGUGGGGAAUAUUGCACAAUGGGCGCAAACCUGAUGCAGCAACGCCGCGUGAGGGAUGACGGCCUUCGGGUUGUAAACCUCUUUUAGCAGGGAAGAAGCGAAAGUGACGGUACCUGCAGAAAAAGCACCGGCUAACUACGUGCCAGCCGCCGCAGUAA
rnacentral:rRNA from 1 species